AGAGUUUGAUCCUGGCUCAGAACAAACGCUGGCGGCGUGCCUAAUACAUGCAAGUCGUACGACGUAGCAAUACGGAGUGGCGCACGGGAGAGUAACACGUGGAUAAUCUUCCUUUUAGUGGGGAACAACUUUCCGAAAGGAAAGCUAAUACCGCAUAAGACCACAACAUCUACGGAUGAAGGGGUUAAAGGUGGAACCUUCGGGUCUACCGCUAAAAGAUGAGUCUGCGCUCGAUUAGCUAGUUGGCGGGGUAAUGGCCCACCAAGGCGACGAUCGAUAGCUGGUCUGAGAGGAUGACCAGCCUCACUGGAACUGAGACACGGUCCAGACUCCUACGGGAGGCAGCAGUAGGGAAUAUUGGACAAUGGGCGAAAGCCUGAUCCAGCAAUGCCGCGUGAGUGAUGAAGGCCCUCGGGUCGUAAAGCUCUUUCAGCGGGAAAGAAUAAAAUGACGGUACCCGCAGAAGAAGCACCGGCUAACUCCGUGCCAGCAGCCGCGGUAAUACGGAGGGUGCAAGCGUUGKUCGGAAUUAUUGGGCGUAAAGCGCGUGUAGGCGGCUAUCUAAGUCUGGUGUGAAAGCCCGAGGCUUAACUUCGGAAGUGCACUGGAUACUGGAUAGCUAGAGGACGAGAGAGGAAAGUGGAAUUCCUGGUGUAGGGGUGAAAUCCGUAGAUAUCAGGAGGAACAUCGGUGGCGAAGGCGACUUUCUGGCUCGUUUCUGACGCUCAGACGCGAAAGCGUGGGGAGCAAACAGGAUUAGAUACCCUGGUAGUCCACGCCCUAAACGAUGAGUACUAGUCGUCGGAAAUCCUAAUAUUUUCGGUGACGAAGCUAACGCAUUAAGUACUCCGCCUGGGAAUUACGGUCGCAAGAUUAAAACUCAAAGGAAUUGACGGGGGCCCGCACAAGCGGUGGAGCAUGUGGUUUAAUUCGAUGCUACGCGAAAAACCUUACCCAGGCUUGACAUCCCGCGCUACCCUAGGAAACUAGGGGUUCUCUUCGGAGACGCGGUGACAGGUGCUGCAUGGCUGUCGUCAGCUCGUGUUGUGAGAUGUUGGGUUAAGUCCCGCAACGAGCGCAACCCUCGUCGUUAGUUACCAUCAUUUAGUUGGGCACUCUAACGAGACCGCUGAGCUAUAAGCCARAGGAAGGUGGGGAUGACGUCAAGUCCUCAUGGCCUUUAUGUCUGGGGCUACACACGUGCUACAAUGGGAAGGCACAAAGCGCGCAAACUUGCAAAAGUAAGCAAAAUCGCAAAAAACUUCCCUCAGUUCGGAUUGGGGUCUGCAACUCGACCCCAUGAAGCUGGAAUCGCUAGUAAUCGCGGAUCAGCACGCCGCGGUGAAUACGUUCCCGGGCCUUGUACACACCGCCCGUCACACCAUGGGAGUUUGUCGUACCGGAAACCGCUGAGCUAACCUUCGGGAGGCAAGCGUUUAUGGUAUGGCCGAUGACUGGGGUGAAGUCGUAACAA
rnacentral:rRNA from 1 species